rnacentral:misc_RNA from 1 species
GUCUGGAAUCCCGAAGAUUUGGGAGUGCUCGCAAGAGAACCGGAACACAGGUGCUGCAUGGCUGUCGGUCAGCUCGUGUCGUGAGAUGUUGGGUUAAGUCCCGGUCUGACAACCCUUGGUCAUUAGUUGCUACGAAAGGGCACUCUAUCGAGACUGCUGGUGACAAACCGGAGGAAGGUGGGGAUGACGUCAAGUCCUCAUGGCCCUGGUGUAGGGUCAGCCACGUCAAGGCCAAUGGUCGGGACAGAGGGUCGCCAACCUGCGAGGGGGAGCCAAUCCCAGAAACCCGAUCGUAGUCCGGAUCGCAGUCUGCAACCUGACUGCGUGAAGUCGGAACGCUUGCACCUGCGGAUCAGCAUGUCGCGGUGAAUACGCGUUCCCGGGUCUUGUACACACGCCCAUCGCUGACCAUGUGGAGUGGGUUUUACCAGAAGUAGUUAGCCUAACUGCAAGGAGUGGCGAUACUAAUGGGUAGAUUCAUGACUGGGGUGAAGUCGUAACAAGGGGUAG